rnacentral:lncRNA from 10 species
UUUCGAUGCUUGCUCAAGUUUCAGAACUGUUCUGAGCUAAACCACGCUCUGGGAUGCCCGAGACCCAGGAAUUCUCUAUUCAAAGGGCUCUGCCCACCUUGAGGGCUGGCACCAGCCUCCUUCCUGGGUCUUGGAAGAGAUGUGCUUCCAGUGGCCAAAAGCAGCUCUCCCAGGAAAGUUGAGAGCUAGACAGUGCUUGAACUGGAAGGCACUACAGAAAUGCUGGAGCUGAACUCUGAUAAGAGGAAAAAUGAGGUAUCUAGUCCCAGAAAAACCUUGCUGCUCUUGCUCUGACCCUAGCACUUCAUUGGUGAAGGAAAAGUUGGAACAGUUGUGCAGUUUCAGGACCAGUUUGCGCUCACGAAUCAGCUUGUCAUAUCUGGGAGGAGUUAUCUUUUCGAAGGAAGGUCCUGUCACAUUCAGAGGUGUUAAGCAUUAACCAUUCAACACCCAUCUCUGCAAGUUUAUUGGAGCCUCCAUUUACAGAAAGCUGUCUUGUCCUCAUAAUGAAACAGACAUUCACGCUUGGCAACAGGCUAAGGUUGAGCACCUUGAUUCCUGUCUCCCAUCCUUUCUGGGCUUUGUUCUCCCCAGUUUCACAGAGUUCUUUCUGCUGUAAGUGAAAACUCAUUUCUGUUCCCUGAAAACUACUUUUUAGCUCAUUGCCUGAAGCGUAAUGCUAUGGUUCACGUUACUGAGGUUUGGAUAACAUCUUUGCAUCUUUUUUUUUUUUUACAAAACAUUAUUUUAAAGGAGGGGAGUGACUGGGUAGUUUACAAUCCCCAAAUUAUUAUUCUUUUAAA